rnacentral:rRNA from 1 species
GAUGAACGCUGGCGGCGUGCCUAAUACAUGCAAGUCGAGCGAACAGACGAGGAGCUUGCUCCGCUGACGUUAGCUGCGGUCGGGUGAGUAACACGUGGAUCACCUACCUAUAAGACCUGGAUAACUUCGGGAAACCGGAGCUAAUACCGGAUAAUAUAUUGAACCGCAUGGCUCUAUAGUGAAAGACGGUUUUGCCGUCACUUAUAGAUGGAGCCGCGCGGCAUUCGCUCGUUGGUAAGGUAACGGCUUACUAAGGCAACGAUACGUAGCCGAACUGAGAGAGUGAUCCGCCACACUGGAACUGAGACACGGUCCAGACACCUACGGGAGGCAGCAGUAGGGAAUCUUCCGCGAUGGGCGAAAGCCUGACGGAGCAACGCCGCGUGAGUGAUGAAGGUCUUCGGAUCGUAAGACUCUGUUAUUAGGGAGGAACAACUGCGUAAGUAACUAUGCACGUCUCGACGGUACCUAAUGAGAAAGCCACGGCUAACUACGUG